AUGCACAUUGGUACUAUGGUGGAGUUUGCCUUUGCACUGGUGGGGAAGCUGGAUGUCAUCAAUAAACAUUCCUUCAAUGACUUCAAACUCAGAGUGGGUAUUAAUCAUGGACCCGUGAUAGCUGGGGUGAUUGGAGCUCAGAAGCCCCAGUAUGACAUCUGGGGCAACACAGUGAAUGUAGCAAGCAGAAUGGACAGCACAGGAGUGCUGGG